rnacentral:rRNA from 1 species
AUUGAACGCUGGCGGCAGGCUUAACACAUGCAAGUCGAGCGGGGGAAGGUAGCUUGCUACCGGACCUAGCGGCGGACGGGUGAGUAAUGCUUAGGAAUCUGCCUAUUAGUGGGGGACAACAUCUCGAAAGGGAUGCUAAUACCGCGUACGUCCUACGGGAGAAAGCAGGGGAUCUUCGGACCUUGCGCUAAUAGAUGAGCCUAAGUCGGAUUAGCUAGUUGGUGGGGUAAAGGCCUACCAAGGCGACGAUCUGUAGCGGGUCUGAGAGGAUGAUCCGCCACACUGGGACUGAGACACGGCCCAGACUCCUACGGGAGGCAGCAGUGGGGAAUGUUGGACAAUGGGGGGAACCCUGAUCCAGCCAUGCCGCGUGUGUGAAGAAGGCCUUAUGGUUGUAAAGCACUUUAAGCGAGGAGGAGGCUACUCUAGUUAAUACCUAGGGAUAGUGGACGUUACUCGCAGAAUAAGCACCGGCUAACUCUGUGCCAGCAGCCGCGGUAA